rnacentral:rRNA from 1 species
GCACCAGACUCCUACGGGAGGCAGCAGUGGGGGAUAUUGCACAAUGGGGGGAACCCUGAUGCAGCGACGCCGCGUGAGGGAAGACGGUUUUCGGAUUGUAAACCUCUGUCUUUAGGGACGAAACAAAUGACGGUACCUAAAGAGGAAGCCCCGGCUAACUACGUGCCAGCAGCCGCGGUAAUACGUAGGGGGCAAGCGUUAUCCGGAUUUACUGGGUGUAAAGGGAGCGUAGACGGUGCAGCAAGUCUGGAGUGAAAGGCAGGGGCCCAACCCCUGGACUGCUCUGGAAACUGUCGUACUUGAGUGCAGGAGAGGUAAGUGGAAUUCCUAGUGUAGCGGUGAAAUGCGUAGAUAUUAGGAGGAACACCAGUGGCGAAGGCGGCUUACUGGACUGUAACUGACGUUGAGGCUCGAAAGCGUGGGGAGCAAACAGGAUUAGAUACCCGAGUACA